rnacentral:piRNA from 1 species
CAGGGAAGUGCCUGCUAGC